UACAGAGGUCCCAAGCGUUGUUCGGAUUCAUUGGGCGUAAAGGGUGCGUAGGCGGCGCGGUAAGUCGGGUGUGAAAUCUCGGGGCUUAACUCCGAAACUGCAUUCGAUACUGCCGUGCUUGAGGACUGGAGAGGAGACUGGAAUUUACGGUGUAGCGGUGAAAUGCGUAGAUAUCAGGAGGAACACCUGUGGUGUAGACGGCUCUCUGGACCGCAACUGACGCUGAGACACGAAAGCGUGGGUAGCAAACAGG
rnacentral:rRNA from 1 species